GCGGCUAACUACGUGCCAGCAGCCGCGGUGAUACGUAGGCAGCAAGCGUUGUUCGGAGUUACUGGGCGUAAAGGGUGUGUAGGCGGCUUUCUAAGUUUGGUGUGAAAUCUCCCGGCUCAACCGGGAGGGUGCGCCGAAGACUGGAAGGCUAGAGUAUGGGAUGGGAGAGUGGAAUUCCUGGUGUAGCGGUGAAAUGCGUAGAUAUCAGGAGGAACACCUGCGGUGUAGACGGCUCUCUGGACCAUUACUGACGCUGAGACACGAAAGCGUGGGUAGCAAACAGGAUUAGAUACCCUGGUAGUCCACGCCCUAAACGAUGCAUAUUUGGUGUGGGCCAUUCAUUUGGUCCGUGCCGGAGCUAACGCGUUAAAUAUGCCGCCUGGGGAGUACAGUCGCAAGGCUGAAACUCAAAGGAAUUGACGGGGGCCCGCACAAGCGGUGGAGCAUGUGGUUCAAUUCGACGCAACGCGAAGAACCUUACCUAGGCUCGAAAUGCUUUGGACCAUCCCUGGAAACAGGGACUUUUCGCAAGAAACUGAAGUAUAGGUGCUGCA
rnacentral:rRNA from 1 species